CUGACCGUAGUUUAUGUAAAACAGGAAAUUGCAAAUUUCCGGAACUUCGGCUGUCAGUGGUGGA
rnacentral:tRNA from 1 species